UCCCGGUUGGCCCGGGCAGUCUCGCCUGAAAAAUACAACAGACGACAAGGGUUGCGCUCGUUGCGGGACUUAACCCAACAUCUCACGACACGAGCUGACGACGGCCAUGCAGCACCUGUCACCAGGUUCCCGAAGGCACUCCCCUGUUUCCAAGGGAUUCCUGGGAUGUCAAGCCUCGGUAAGGUUCUUCGCGUAGCUUCGAAUUAAACCACAUAAUCCUCUACUUGUGCGGGUCCCCGUCAAUUCCUUUGAGUUUUAAGCUUGCGCUCGUACUCCCCAGGCGGCAUACUUACCGCGUUAGCUUCUCAGCACAGGGGGUCGAUACCCCAUACUAAUAGUAUGCAUCGUUUACGGCGUGGACUAC
rnacentral:misc_RNA from 1 species